CCCUUAGACGUUCUGGGCCGCACGCGCGCUACACUGACCAGUGCAACAAGCAUCCGUCCUUGGCCGACAGGCCCGGGCAAUCUUUGAACGCUGGUCGUGAUGGGGAUAGACUUUUGCAAUUUUUGGUCUUCAACGAGGAAUUCCUAGUAAACGCAAGUCAUCAACUUGCAUUGAUUACGUCCCUGCCCUUUGUACACACCGCCCGUCGCACCUACCGAUUGAAUGGUCCGGUGAAGCCUCCGGAUUGUCGCGCACCUCGGUGCCGCCGAGAAGUUGGCUAAACCUUACCAUUUAGAGGAAGGUGAAGUCGUAACA
rnacentral:rRNA from 1 species